rnacentral:lncRNA from 1 species
CAGCUGGCGGUCAACACUGCUCUGCAGUAAGAUCCGGCGCUGUCUUUGCAGGCGGCGUUCAUCCAUCACACCAGGGAGACGCCCGCCUCGGAGCCCUUCAGCGCCACAGACGGCUUCGACCUGUACAUCGACGGGGCCCGGUUCCUGCCCGAUGCCGUCACCGUCACUAGGGUCGCUGGCCGGAUCUUUGACAGCCACUACCACCAAGUUGGUCCAGACAUUUCCACCGCCAUUGAUUUGAGCAGCAAUAUCUUCGAGCCACUCUACAACUAUCGCGUGGAGAUCCGGAAUCCACCAGUGCCGCCCUCCGCUACGCUCUUGCUAAAGGUCUGUGCUGCGGCCAGGCAGAUGACAGAUGUCAUCUCCCCGGCUGGCAGGAUCUCCACAAGCCCUUGCUGUGUGGGGCAGGAGAGGAGAGUUGCUCUUCCCCUGCGAGUGACGGGACUGUACUGAGUUUGUGCAAGGUGCUGGCCCAGCUGUGUCUAAGUGCAGGUGCAGGGUCUCCCGGGGGGGCUCUGACUCAACACCGAGCUGCCUUUGAUUCUUACAGCUCUACUCCCUGGAUCGGUUCAGUUCCAAGCUCGUCCUGAUCGGCUGGGCAGCUCUCAAUCUCUUUGUGGAAUCUGGGACGCACAGAGCCCCGGCUGCAGAUUCCCAGGGGAUCCAGGUCUCUCUGAACGAGGGUGCCCACCAGCUUCGCCUGUACCACAGUGGCCCUGCCACGGACCAGCUGUUCUCUGUCGGUGCCCUCACCUCUGCAGGACGGUAACCCCUCGCGCCUGGCUCCCGGCCAGCUCACUCCCUUCUUGUGUGUGUCUUGUCUCUGUAACGUCCCGUGCUUUGCUGCGGACUGUGCAGGCUCUCACCCCUGUGCUGCUCCUCUCCCCACAGGUAUGUCCCAUGUGCCAGCCUGCUAGUCAGGCUGCUCAAAGCCCCCGUGGACUCCAGCCAUCAAACCCUGCAGAGAAGCAUGGUUCCCCAGGGGGACUGGGUCAGACUCGGCCUCUUCCAGCCCAGGCCUGACUAUUCAGACGGGAUCUAUUAUUCAGACUCGGUCGUGCCCACCGCCGGGGAGAGGUGCCUCUACAGCGCCAUGGGAAACAGGUCUGCAGUGCUGGUUCGGGAGAUUGUCCCUCAGCUUGUGGGAAACGAAGGCCCGGAGCUGAAUACAGAUGCGGAGAUCUCUACUUGGAUCAAAGAGAAACUGACCAGGACGAUGGACUGCAGCCCUCAGCCUUUCAAUCUUACCUAUGUCUCUCGAUACCUCCCUACAUACGGCAUUAAGUUUGCAGUGGAUGGUGCCAAGAAUCUACCCUGGUCUGGUUUGACGGUGGCUCAUUUCUGCUUCAAUCCCCCUGGGGCCUUUUAUUUUGGGAGGCCCUGGCUAAAAUACGAUCGUCCUGUCUUUGUGGAGGAGCUUGACCUUGACAGCUACCAGCGAUGGCCUGUGUGGCUGGAUGGAUUCAAGUCCUUUCCCCAGAGGAUUUACAAUGAGUAUCUAACGGUGAUUAUCCACCUGUACGAAGUCCUGGUGAAUCCUGAGCCAGACACUCCGGGCAAAAAGGCAGCCACCAGACCUGUGCCGAGAGGAAUCAUGAGGAAAGAGGGCGAAAGGCUGCGCUAUGCACUGGGGAGUGAAGCAUGGGCUGUUCUCCAAGUGUUCUCUAGUGGCUACUGCAAUACUGAUGUUUAUCAGCUGCCUCUGUACCAGGGGGCUCCCAGCCAGAACAUUGUGAUCUCCUUCUCCCAAGGAACGUGUACCAGCGUUACGCAGGAGCUGGCGAACAGGAAAGUGAUUGAGCUGGUGAGAGGGGCAUCUGUGGUUGUCCGUCUAGCAGAUGGUAGGCGGGAUGAAGAGCUUAGCCUGCCCCCCAAACAGGGUAUCAAUCAGUCCUACCUCCCCAAGGAAGGCAUAGAGUUUUACAAGAAGGAGCCUGGUGGUGCUAAAGUUACAGAUCUGAUGCCACAGGAGAAGGCAGAAACCCAGCAAGAGGCCCGGCUGUUAAUUCUAGAUCACAUCUAG